UAUGUGAUCGUCUCUCGCAUAUCAAUAAGCGGAGGAAAAGAAACUAAUAAGGAUUCCCCUAGUAACGGCGAGUGAAGCGGGAAGAGCUCAAAUUUGAAAUCUUAAAGGGUUUCCCUUUACGAAUUGUAGUUUAAAGAAGUGUUUUCUGUUGAGGUUUUGGUAAAAGUUCUUUGGAAUAGGACAUCAUAGAGGGUGAGAAUCCCGUAUUUGACCUUUACUUUCAACUUUGUGAUACACUUUCAAAGAGUCGGAUUGUUUGGGAAUGCAGUCCAAAAUGGGUGGUAAAUUUCAUCUAAAGCUAAAUAUUGGCGAGAGACCGAUAGCGAACAAGUACCGUGAGGGAAAGAUGAAAAGAACUUUGAAAAGAGAGUUAAACAGUACGUGAAAUUGUCAAAAGGGAAGCGUUUGACACCAGUGUUGUUUUUCUGAAAAUCAAUUAAAGAACUGUUUAUGCUAAGCUGUUUAGACUUUAUCAGCUAACUGUUUAGUUUUGAGCUUUUCUUUAAUGCACUUUUCAGUUAACAAGUCAACAUCAAUUUCUUUUGCUGUAAAAAAGCUUGAGGAAGGUGGCUUGAGAUUCGUCUUAAGUGUUUAUAGCCUCUUGCCUAUGCAGUCGGAGAGAUUGAGGUCUGCAGCGUAGAUCCUUCGGGGCUAAAUGCAUUUGUGCUAAGUUAUAGCAUUUUAUAGACAACUUGUUGACUAUGAUUUGUCUUGUAGCUUACUCGCUUAUGUUAUUUUACCUACGCUUAGGAUGUUGAUCUGUAGUGCGUGCGC
rnacentral:rRNA from 1 species